UCGAACGAUUAUCUGAUCAGACAUGUGAUCGGGACGCGCGCACACACCGGAGCGUGUGCACGGUGUCCGGGGUUUGUCUCAGCUCAUCACACCGCGGACUAUUUUCUCCUUCGCCUGAAAUCUGAGACUCACUUGGUGGAAGGAAAAUAAGCUGAGUGGGUAAAUAGUAAAGAGAGCAGAUAUAAAUAUAACGCUUCCUUGCAUCACACCAGCAAAACUGCUAUUAAUCACAUAUUACACUCAUGUCCUGAUCAUUUGAUACUAAUUAGUGAUUUAAACAUAUUGGUAAUCGAUAAUGAUCCACAUCCUCUCUUAAUGGGUGUGGGAAUGUGGAAUACUCAGAAGAAUGAAGUCACCAGGUCAAGAAAAACAAGACCUAGAGAAAUGCUUUGAUCAUGACUUAUUGUGUGCUGCCAUCUGUUGAUGAAAACAGGAAAUGAUCCUCCACUGCUCCGUGACGGCUCAGGUCCUGAUUAUGCGGGACAGCCAGAGACUGACCGUGUGUAUGAACCUCGUUAUAGACAGUCUGUGGUCUGAACCUGAGCUGCGACUUCACUGCCUGAGAGAUAAGUCGAGCAGGAACCUACAUUUUUUUAGACGAUCACUAAUUGCUUUGCUCUAAUUGAGUUUGUGCACAUGUUUAUUUAAUGUCUGCUUUUUCUUUUUGUACUCUGCAACGACUGAACCUUUUUCCCCCCCAUUGUGCAGAAUAUGAUGAUGAUGGGGAGACAAGAAGGUAGCCCCACCGUUACGGUCUUUAAUUCACCAGAAAGCUUUUUAAGCGUUAAUACAGAUAUUUGUCUCAGAAUAUUAUAAAAUACAUAUUAGAAUUUGCGGUGAAGGUCGUAAACAGCGCAGGAAACAACAGGAACUUGUAACAUGUGAUAUAACAGCUUGGAUGCCAAAUUAGAUUACAAUUCAAAUAAACUGUAUACAAAGGAAUGAGUCUACUGACUAAAUGAAGCCAACUGACUGCACUCAUGAUAUUGUUCUCUUAGCUGAGACAGAAAAAGGCCUGAGGAGUAUAACAGCGUGUAGGGUGUUAGAUAGGUUUUGUGGUCGUUAACCUUCUCCUAUCACUCAGACAUUUCAGGAGAUAGUAUAUGAUAAGAAAUUUGGUUUGAGUUUUUCGACAAACCUGGAACGCCAUACAUUUAUGAAAUGUUUAAAAACCAGAAUGAAAAUUGGACUGUGACUGCUGCUUGCUUCUUUGAAAAACCCUUAAUCAGGUUUCUUAACUAACGUACACGUUUUGUUUAAUGCAAGUCAUUCAGUAUGUUACAAAAAGCUGAAGCUCGUAAGUGGAAUCUCCCUUUUUGCCUGAUGUUGACUGUGGAGAUGUGUUUUAUACUAACGCCUCAGCAGCUGACUGUCCUCACAAGCUUUUAUAGCUGAGCUUGAGGAGAUGAGUGUGGAGCAGCAGACAUGGUGACCCUCAGGCUGCUGGAGUGGUGCCACGGUGUUCUUCUGACCUGUAGGGUCACACCUUUCACACAGCCAGAGGAAAUGCUGUGGUCAGGAUCCUGAGAACUGUUGUAUCACACACGUCCAUCAGGCCUUGACAUUCGCUGACUUGUUAACGACACCGGAGGUCUCAUCUCAGCAGUCUUUGCCCUUGUUCAUUCCUCCAGAUGUUGAGGUUUACAGAGGAGUCCUGCUGAAGAGGCUGUCCACUCGUUGCUGCUAUGCUCCACUCACAGUGUAUCUGUGUAGGUCGGACACAGCACACUGCUCACAACCUCCCAAUACCUCAGAUUAUGCUGUCACCUGCUUAUCAAACACAUAGCAUUAGAUUUUGUACAUUAUUUCAAACUCAAGUUUUUUUUAAAAGAACAUAUUGAAACAAUGAGAAAUAUAUGAUAAUAAGGCUGAUAAGGAUCAUUCAGAGGUUGUUUCAUCAAAGUUGUCUGUUUGGCCUGUUUCCUAUUGUUUGACUUCAAUCGUUUUAUUCUGAACUUGUAAAGCAGCUUUUAACUGUGUUUUGAAAGUUGCCAUAUAAAUAAAGUUUAUUUUUAUCAUAUCAUAAGCAGGAUUACGCAAAAGUUACACAACCAGUUCUUCAUUAAUCACUCAGAAAACAAUUCAUGGAUCUUGAUGAAAAAAAUCGGACUUGUUUUUGGGGACUGGUAUUUAUGAGAGUGUGCAAUUCGGUGUGGCUCCAGAUAAAAAACUAGAUCUAGUGAAUUUACAUGUGGUUUCAUGAGGGGACUAUUGGACCUUGGUGGAGUUUGCAAUAAACCAUUCUAGUUUGUUGUUUUGUUUGAUUUUGAGCAAGAUUACACACAAAUAUACAAAACUGCUUUCUACAAAACAAAAAGAAUUUAGAUCUGGGGCAGAUUUGAGCUCAGUAAGAUCAUCAAACGACUUCCCAUUGUCUUUUCUGCUGUAAGAACUAAACAUCAUGUGUAGGAUUGUUUGACCUUGGUGAAGGUAUAUGCUCCACUCAGUUUCAGAUUUUUUAUUUCAUUUUAUUUAAUUUAAAGAAACCAAUUAAAACAGUUUUAAGGACACACAUGAGACUGACUGUGACCAAAACACACCCUCCUCCUCCUCCUCCUCCUCAUAGGUGCUCCUGAAUGUGGGACAGCGAGGUCACUGUGGUGCAGAGGUCGCCGAGUCUGGCUCGCACGUGCACCGUUUAGCCACAGCCGAUCCAAUCCUCUUACGCUACCCCCCCUACUUCUUCUUCCUUCAGCACUCAGGCCAGACUAUAAGAUCAGCUCACUGCAUGCAGGUCUUAUCCUGAAGCAGUAGAUCCUCAGAGUCACGUCAGCAGGGACAUCCAUCGACAGUGAUUCUUCACGAUGUCACCAGUGCUCACUGGUCCUGCAGGAGGCGUUUCUCAGUGGGCGCUCGGCUGCCACAGGAAUAGGACGACAUCUGACAACACACAUGGAUUCAUUUUAUUCUUUUUCUGAUGUGAUCAUCCUGUUUGUUCAUGCCUGGCUGGGGAAUUCCCCGAUUAGCUAUUUCAAUGUUGCUAUCUUUGCACAAAUAGGUUUUAAGUUGUUAAAUAACAAUAGUUUG